rnacentral:lncRNA from 1 species
AUUUGCAGACAUGAAUAACCAGUAACCAGAAGUUCCAAGCGAGCAUUCUUUGACCCCAUCAUCCUGUGCAACCAACACUUCACCUCCUUUUUUCAAUUUUAUAUCUUUCCUGUUCAUGCUCUGAAAGAAUUUCCAUUCAUCUUCUAGAACUUCUCAUAGUUAGAUAACUUUUUUCAUGCACAAAGACCCAUUGUGCCUCAAAUCAACCCAACAAAAAUACAGGAACCAAAGAGAAAAGGAAAAAACAGUUAACAUAAACAAA